AAAUGAGACAUACAACAAAAUCUGCUAACUUUUGUUACCUUGAUUAAAUUCCAAGGCUUAUUUA
rnacentral:tRNA from 1 species